AUUAUUUUGGCAGAUUAGUGCAUUAAAUUUAGAAUUUAAUUAUGUAAAAUAAAUUACAAAUAAUAC
rnacentral:tRNA from 1 species